rnacentral:rRNA from 1 species
CCCAGUUCGGAUUGUAGGCUGCAACCCGCCUGCAUGAAGUUGGAAUUGCUAGUAAAUCGCGGAUCAGCAUGCCGCGGUGAAUACGUUCCCGGGGAUUGUACACACCGCCCGUCACACCAUGAGAGUCGGGAACACCCAAAGUCCGUAGUCUAACCGCAAGGAGGACGCGGCCUAAGGUGGGUUCGAUAAUUGGGGUGAAGUCGUAACAAGGUAGC